rnacentral:tRNA from 1 species
UGGGGAAUAGUUCAAUGGUAGAAUAUCGGACUGUGACUCCGUCGAUCUUAGCUCGAAUCCAGGUUCCCCAGCCA